rnacentral:lncRNA from 1 species
GAGAGAAGGAGUGAUCAAGAGAGAGAAGGAGAGGAGAAGAAGAAGAAAGGUGUAGGAAAACUUCAAGGUUUCCAUAGGAACUUAAUAUUUUCUUGGACAUCAUAAGAAGCAUUUCUAGAAAUUAAAAUUACGAAGCUUGAAAUUUAUGAUUUGCAUGUUUUAUGUUUAAUUGUUCAAACGAAGUGAAUUUUUCUUGAUAAAGCAUGUUAUAAGAUUUAUAGGCAUUUGUUGAUUUGCAUAUGAUCUAAAUAACAUGAUUUUGGUGAUAAUUUUCUGAAAACGAAAAUGAGAUGAACAUGAAAUGGUAU